rnacentral:tRNA from 4 species
GGGCACGCAGCUCAGCUUGGACAGAACAGCAGCCUUCAAAGCUGAUGGUCGCGGGUUCAAAUCCCAGCGGGCCCG